rnacentral:rRNA from 1 species
CCUACGGGAGGCUGCAGUGGGGAAUAUUGGACAAUGGGCGAAAGCCUGAUCCAGCCAUGCCGCGUGUGUGAAGAAGGCCUUCGGGUUGUAAAGCACUUUCAGUGGGGAAGAAAGCCUUGGGGCUAAUACCCUCGAGGAAGGACAUCACCCACAGAAGAAGCACCGGCUAACUCCGUGCCUGCAGCCGCGGUAAUACGGAGGGUGCGAGCGUUAAUCGGAAUUACUGGGCGUAAAGCGCGCGUAGGCGGCCUGAUAAGCCGGUUGUGAAAGCCCCGGGCUCAACCUGGGAACGGCAUCCGGAACUGUCAGGCUAGAGUGCAGGAGAGGAAGGUAGAAUUCCCGGUGUAGCGGUGAAAUGCGUAGAGAUCGGGAGGAAUACCAGUGGCGAAGGCGGCCUUCUGGACUGACACUGACGCUGAGGUGCGAAAGCGUGGGUAGCAAACAGGAUUAGAUACCCGGGUAGUC